AGGAAGUUCUCCUAGAAAGUCAAGCAUGUCUACAAGAAUAUGCGUGAAAGUGAUUUACAUGUCAACCGUACUAAUGGUAAAAUAUUGGGAGCAAUUAAUCAGGUUUCCAUCAGUUGAGUGACUAGCAUGCAAUUACAACCACACACAACAGGUAUUGCCCAGGUAUUCCCCCCCCCAAAAAAAAACCCAGGAAAAUGAGAAAAGCAAUUAAAAAUGUUCUGAGCUAAACAACAGAGUAGUAUAUCACCCAGAGACUACCCAUGUCUGUGAAAAACACUGCUGGUGAUAAAAGAUAUACUUUAAGGUUAUCUGAAAUCCAAAUAAUUAGAUUUAGAAAGUGUAGUAGUUCUUUUCUCAUUGUUGUGACAAAACGUCUGACAAAAGUGGCUAAUGGCAGGAAGGGCUUCUUAAGGGUCAUGGUUUGCCAUGUCCAGUCCUUCAUGGGUCGGGAGAGGUGGUGCGGCCACUGUGCUGCGCUGGACACUUUUCCUCCACGGUCAGGAAGCAGAGAGAGAUGAUGAUACUGGCACCUUGCUCACAUGCACAGAAAUUCCUUCACAGAUGGGCCCUGACGUGUGUCUCCUUGGUGAUUUUCAACCCAGCCAUGUGAACAACGAAGUUUAACCACCAUACAGAGGAACACAGAGAAGAGUCACUACUUAUGCAAGAGGACGAACCAGAAAACUUGAUGGCUUCAAAAGGAGUGAGCUAUUAACCAUCCAUUGUGGUUAGCCUAAAAGCUGAGAUGAACUCAGGCUUCCACGUUGUCUAUGGGUGCUUUCCUUGACCACAGCUUGACGUGUGAAAUACCAUGAAAAUGAAGAAGACGUUUAUCCCCUUGGAAGGUGGAGUGGGCUGUGUGCGUAUCCACCCAUCGGCUGUUAUUCUGACCUGGUGAAAGUGAGCGGCCAUUACCAACCAGAAGACAGAAAGCAGAUCUGGUGAAGUCUAGCAGGACAAGCCAUUGUUGACUGGGAGAAGAGACACACAAACUGCCACAACAGGCUUGUGAAGAAAAUCUGUUAUAUUAAAGUCCAGCCAUAAAACAGACAAUAAAUGAAACUGCAACCACAUCACGGAGGAGCUAGUAGCUGUGGAUGCUGACAGGCUCACACAUUGACUGUGCCACAUGUACAGGGUGCAGGAGUUCUGGGUACCUACCACCUUGCUUCAGGAAAACCCUGUUUUCAACAGCUCAAAGACAAAAAUGGACUUAAGUAACUAUAGCAAACAAUCCAUUGCAACAGAUUUUCCCAAGUUUUAUUUGGAUGAAACAGAAUAUA
rnacentral:lncRNA from 1 species